UAUAAACCACACAAGACUUCCCCCUUCAAAAAAAAAAAGCACAAGACUUUCCCUUUUGUGAAAAAAAAUAAAAGACUUUCCCUGUCCACCCUACCAUUGUACCAUCUAAACAAGAAUUCCUCUAAAAAAAAAUGUUAUUUUGUACUCCCUCCGUCUCAAAUUGUAUGUCGCUUUCGAAAAAAAAAUUGUCCCAAGUUAUAUAUCGCUUUACAAUACCAAUGAAAUAUUAAUGUUACUUUUCCUAUUAUAUCCUUAACUAUUGAUUACUCUCUCUUCUUUCAAAUAUUUCAUUUAUCUUUUCCAUACCAUUUAUUAAGGAUAAUUUUGUAAAACAACUCAUAAUUUCUCUUCCCCACACAAUAUUAAUUACAUUUCUUAAUACGUGUGAAAUGGCCAAAACGUCAUACAAUUUGGGACGGAGUGAGUAUUUAGAAAUCAAAAAUAUUGUCAAAGAAAUUAUCGGGUUAAGUCACGACCAGGUCGCUCUCUUUAAGACGUUUCGCGGCACUACCCAAGUUGUGCAAGGUAGACUAACAACCACGCCGUCUCCAGGAUAAAACAGCCCAGAUCACUGUUACGAUUAUAUACUUCACAGUAUACAAUCGCUCAUAGAUAUACACCUCGAAAUAUAGUUUAAUCGUUUGAUUAAAACUACUCAAUACAAUACGCAGCCGCUCUAAUCGAAACCGAAAGGGACAGAAAGGAGCAGAAGUAGAAGAACGACUUGUUAACACAAGUCGAAGGGAGAAGAGAGGAAUCGCACAGGAAUCAUCGACUGUGGAAUUCGGUUUAAAGAAUGAGGGGCGCGAGCUCUCCUUUUAUAGGAUGAGUUCGUAACCGAAAACGAGACACUUGGGGAUUAAGUCAGCUUAAUCCUCAAGUAAAUGCAUUUUGUUCCUUAAUUGGAUAUAUCCGGACUCGUUUUUGGAUCGGAUCAGAUCGUAUCAAUUUCAUUUGUUACGCG
rnacentral:lncRNA from 1 species